GACGAACGCUGGCGGCGUGCUUAACACAUGCAAGUCGAACGGAAAGGCCCUGCUUUUGUGGGGUGCUCGAGUGGCGAAGGGGUGUGUAACACGUGAGUAACCUGCCCUUGACUUUGGGAUAACUUCAGGUAACGGGGGCUAAUAUCGGAUAGGAGCUCCUGCUGCAUGGUGGGGGUUGGAUAGUUUCGGCGGUUGGGGAUGGACUCGCGGCUUAUCAGCUUGUUGGUGGGGUAGUGGCUUACCAAAGCUUUGACGGGUAGCCGGCCUGAGAGGGUGACCGGCCACAAUGGGACUGAGAUACGGCCCAGACUCGUACGGGGGGCAGCAGUGGGAAAUAUUGCACAAUGGGCGGAAGCCUGAUGCAGAAACGCCGCGUGCGGGAUGACGGCCUUCGGGUUGUAAACCGCUUUCGCCUGUGACGAAGCGUGAGUGACGGUAAUGGAUAAAGAAGCACCGGCUAACUACGUG
rnacentral:rRNA from 1 species